rnacentral:lncRNA from 1 species
GUAGGAAGAAAACUGUGAAUGGAAAAAGGAGAAGGGGAGAGAAACGGGGGAAAUCUGGAUAAUACAUUAAAGUAACCAUAAUUUUGGAGAUGCAUUCAUCUUAUUGAAAAUAUGUACGUAACCAGUGAUACCGAAGUCGGAUAUUUGCUCAAUCAGGAUGCUCAACAAUUUGAGCCUUUAAAGUUUGGAGCUGCAUGGGUUUGUGGAGAAAGUCGGCUCGUGAUAUUUCCUCAUGGUUGUGAUUCCUCUUCACUCUUUUGAAUUUGGAAGGAUGGCAUACACAUCUGAAAAAUACCACUACUUCCUUCAUUGGACUGCAAGGUAUUUCUGUUUGGAAAAGUAAUGGAGUCCAGUCAACUUCAUUGAUCGCCAAGGACUGUCAAAAUUAUAAAACUUGCUGUGGAGCUCUGACAUGCCAGAAGCCGCUAGAAAAAGAAGUUUGACAUUCAGAAACUUAUCAAGAGGUUCUACUCUUUGGAUAGAGACCAAAAUCAUACUUUGAAAAAGCCUGACAGGUUUCUUCGGAAAAGUGGCCAUCCAUGGAAUGAAUGAAAUGUUCUCUUUCUAUUCCAGGGAUUGCAGUGGCAAAGCUAGGCUAGGUCUUGGAGGCUGGUGUAAGGCGAUGUGGGUGAAGGCAGGAGGCUGAUGGAAAGACUGGGGGGAAGAAAAGCCGAAAUGGAUUCACGGUGCCUUGGAUGAAGGACGAGAGGGGAACUGCAAGCUCCUUCAACUGGUUCUGUCCGGUGAGAAGUGAUCAAGCUUGGGCUGACAAGAGGCUCAGGGAGCCCUCACGUUCUUUCGCUUUUUUACCUGCCAAUCAAACUGCUACAAGACAACACCCUGAUCUGGCAUGGACAUCGCGGGUCCAAGCCUGUAGCCCCAAAUCGGAUAAUCUCUGCAGCUGAUAACAAGCAAAAGAGAAGCCAGGCAACAGCCAUAUUAAAGAAGAAAACAAUCAACUCUGAGAUCCAACUUAGAAAUAAUGUUUCAUUCAAGAUAAGGCUCGUGGCUUAGGAGAUUGUGACCUGGCUUGCAUCAUUCUAAGACUUCUAUCGUCUGUUUUCAAAACCCAAGGAGGACCUCCUUUUCUGUGUGAUAGUUCCUCAUGCUUUGCCAGCCACUGGGUCUUUAAGGAAGCUUGCCAAGAGUUCCCGGCUGGGAAGGACAGUUCGAGUUCAUCAUAGACAAUGAGCUGGCACCACAGUUUAAGUGACUCACCAACCUGGUUGCCCACUUCAAAAUGUCAAGAACCACACUAUCUAAUUGAAAGAACUGUGUUUUAGCAAAGUGUAAUUGGAUCGCCUGGCAAGAUCAUCUCAAACUAUGUCUCUGACCUUGCCUUUCAGUGGCUAUUUUGAGCACAAGAGGAGAAAGGAAAUGAUUCCUGAAUUAUAUCUUGUUUUUAAAAAUUAAGAUUAAUUAAUACUUGGUUUUAUGUUCAUUCCAUUGUAGGAACUUAGUGAUUAUUACAAAACAGUCAAAAUAGGUCAUAGCAAAAUGAACGUUUAAGAUUAGGUUAAAACAUUCCUCUGAAAUUUUAGUAUUCACUUUUGAAGUGUCAAUUACUAUAUUUCUGUAAUUUCUCAUUUUUUUCUUGGCUUAGAGUCAAGAUGAAAAAUGAUAUUUGAAUCAAAGACAUUGUUUUGUUAUAUAGCCACUCCUUUCUAAAAUGCAAAUCCACCCUCCCCUCACCAAUGCUUUAUUCUUUGUGCGCGCACACACACACACACACACACACACACACACACACACACACAGACAUACACAGAACCAGCACCCAAAUGGUAGAGGAGGUCCUUCCAAGACUUCUAGGACCUGGAUCAUGUAAGCAGUAGAUGAGAAAAUGAAGUAAGAGAUAUAGAGUAAUAACAAUAAAAGUCAAUGAUUUCAUUUUACAAAAAAGUCAUUGUGUAGUACUCAGAUAUUUUUAAGAGCAAGUAUUAUUAUGACUAAAGUAUAUUAUACUUCUAAAUUAUUAUGAUUCUCAUCUAAUUUCAAGCCACACAUAGGCGCCAUUUGAAAGCAUUUUGUGUUACAACCUAUCAACAAAAAUCAACUAAUAGUUUUAUAACGUGCAUAGGUUUACCCCAUGGGGAAUUAAAAUUUUUAUCUGCAAGUAUUUCUGUUGUUGUGAGACUUUAGGACAAGACAACAUUUGGUGUUAACAUAGAAGAAUAUUCUAUGGCUUUUUUAGCUUUAAAGUUCAUUACUCUAAAAUAAAGUACACGUGGUAUUUUUUUCUUCCUAGUGUUCUCUUAUUAUAUGUAGAGUAUUUUCGGUUGUUGUUUUUAACGUAUACAUUAUUUUUAUUAAGUCAUUUCAUAAAAGAUAAGAUAUAUACUAAUAGACCCUUGGUUUUCUCCUAAUUUAAUUAUUUCAAGUCAAGCAAAAUUGGGCAAUUUUCUUUCAGGAAAAAAAAAAUAUUGAGCAUGAUUUUGAGGUAAAACUGAUUAUUUACAGCAUCUUUUCUCUAAUAGGCUAACAUUUAUGAUGGAUCUUAUUUCAAAGUUGAUUAUUCUCAAAGAAAAGUGGAGAUAUUAGAAUUUCCGAGUAAAUUGCAUUGUUUUAAAAAGUACUUUAAUGCAUUGUUCACAUUGUUGCCAGCUAUUGACCAAAAAAGAGAAGAAGAAAAAAGAAAUAAAAAAAGCAGUAUCUGCUCCAAACGUCAAGUUUUGCAGUUUGAAAGACUUGUACAUUAUAAUUGUUUUUUUCUUUUUUGGAAAGCAGUAGUAAUUAAUACCAAAGGCAUAGACAAUUUAGGGCCAUAACCUCCCUUCCCCCCUCUCCACCUUUUUUUUUUUUUUUUUUUUUUUUUAACUUUAACCAUGAUAGGCAUCUCUGCAAGGUAGGUUUUAACAUAUUUUUUUCCUAAUUUUUUUCCCUCCAUUCAGUAAGAAGGAUAAGCUUUUAGAGUACCCAGUCACCGUGGUAACUGCCAAAAAAAUUCUCCUGAAGUUUGAAGAGGUCAGCUAGCAGGGUCAACAACCCUGGCCUCUCUCUGAGCUCGGUCUAGCAUGCCCCAGCCUGCGGUUGGAGUGUCAGGCCAGAUCUGACCCUGGGAGGUGGACCAUUCUGGCUCUGAUAUAAAUUUUUCGAGUCAGUUCAUGGCCUGGACUCUCCAGGUGGCCUCCAAAAUCGAUUUUGACCCCCUGACCCUGUCUCACGGAGGCAUAGCAUCCACCCUAAGUAAGGAUUUAGCCAGGAAUGACAGCUUUCCACUGAGUGUUAUUGGGGACAGUAUAAACAGUUUGGAAAGCAAGUAAGGAGGUGUGAGGGCUAGCAAUCAUUAAAAGCACAUUAAAAAACAAUUUUUAAAAAUCUUUAUUAGAGAAAGUUGUAAAUGCAUAUCUGUUACAGAAUUCCUGUGAUUUGUAGAGUUUUCUAGUCAGUUUUGAAUAUAAAUAGGUCACAUAUCUUUAUCUUUUUGCAUACUUUGUUACAAAUAUGCAAAUAAGAUAGGCAUACUUGCUACAAAAUAGGUACAGCAGGAAUGUAAUAUGUUCAGAAAAGGCAAACUGGUUAUUAAAACACAUUAACAGGUAAGGAGUUUCUAAUAUUUUAAAUACUAAAAUUUUACAUGUGUAUUUUGAAGUUUUUAAAAUGGAAAAAUAAAGAACCUUUAAAAAACCCAACAGUGUGGAAUAAAGAUAAACUUGUUGCACUCAAGGUACAUUUCUACUUUGUAAAGCAAGAAGCCAAUACACUCAGUUGGAUAAAAAUGAGAGAAAAAUUGUAAAUAUAGAGAGUUACAGCUUAUAGAGCUGAAGAGGAAUAAAACAAAAAAAAGUGUCUCUGAAUAACUUUAUGUAUUUUCAACAGUUUAAGAUAUCAGAAACUUGGAAAAUAAAUAUGAUAUAUAUAUAAAUCAUCAGUGAUUAUUUCCUUUUCAUUCCCCCCCGCCCCCAGGAUGCCACCGUGAGUGUUUGAUUUUCUCUAGGAAAGUAGAAUUCUCUUUGAGAGUUCUAGCCUGUGAACUCAGUAUGUAAAUGUGGCCAUCAAGAAGACAGAACUGCCAAGAGGAAAGAUUAUGAAUGUUUUUCUUCCUUAAAACCAUUCACAGUGUUUCUUCUUCCAGUGCUUUACUCAGACUUCUCCCCUUUUCCCAGCUCUGUUGAAAAUGGCUUCAAAAGCAACACUGCAGUGGCUAAACCAAUUGUACUGUGAAGUUGUUGAGAUGCCAUUUCAUCUGAAUCCUUCGUAAAAAUUAGAUUUUUAAGUAGGGGUGAAUAUCCUUUUGGGAGAGGGAAUGGGAGGGUAGAAGAAGGGGGGAAAGGACAGAGCA